GACGAACGCUGGCGGCGUGCCUAAUACAUGCAAGUAGAACGCUGAAGGAGGAGCUUGCUCUUCUGGAUGAGUUGCGAACGGGUGAGUAACGCGUAGGUAACCUGCCUGGUAGCGGGGGAUAACUAUUGGAAACGAUAGCUAAUACCGCAUAACAGUAGAUGUUGCAUGACAUUUGCUUAAAAGGUGCAAUUGCACCACUACCAGAUGGACCUGCGUUGUAUUAGCUAGUUGGUGGGGUAACGGCUCACCAAGGCGACGAUACAUAGCAGACCUGAGAGGGGGAGUGGCCACACUGGGACUGAGACACGGCCCAGACUCCUACGGGAGGCAGCAGUAGGGAAUCUUCGGCAAUGGGCGGAAGUCUGACCGAGCAACGCCGCGUGAGUGAAGAAGGUUGUCGGAUCGUAAAGCUCUGUUGUAAGAGAAGAACGAGUGUGAGAGUGGAAAGUUCACACUGUGACGGUAUCUUACCAGAAAGGGACGGCUAACUACGUG
rnacentral:rRNA from 1 species